CAGUAUAUUCAGCCCAUCGUGGAAUUGAAUACUGGUAUCAACCUAAAGUACAAUACUGGCGAUACCGGUACUCAAAAUGAGUACCGGUACACGGUACAAAAAAUAUUUUUUCAAGCUUCGGGUUUUGAGGAACUCCUAAGGUACUUUUUAGUACUGAUACUCAAACUUCACCAACAUCCAAAACCCCAUAAAUCUUCGAUUUUUUUUAUAGUGAUAUCAACUCGAAACAUGACUUUACAUAAUCCAGCAUUAAUUACAACCAAACCAC
rnacentral:lncRNA from 1 species